rnacentral:rRNA from 1 species
CAGCAGCCACGGUAAGACAGAGGAUGCAAGCGUUAUCCGGAAUGAUUGGGCGUAAAGCGUGCGUAGGUGGUGGUUUAAGUCCGUUGUGAAAGCCCUGGGCUCAACCUGGGAAUUGCAGUGGAUACUGGGUCACUAGAGUGUGGUAGAGGAUAGUGGAAUUUCCGGUGUAGCAGUGAAAUGCGUAGAGAUCGGAAGGAACAUCUGUGGCGAAGGCGACUAUCUGGGCCAACACUGACACUGAGGCACGAAAGCGUGGGGAGCAAACAGGAUUAGAUACCCCAGUAGUCCCUGUCUCUUAUAC